rnacentral:rRNA from 1 species
GGUGAGUAAUACGUGGGUAACCUGUCCUUAAGACUGGGAUUCUCCGGGAAACCGGGGCUAAUACCGGAUAACUUUUUGAACUGCAUGGUUCGAAAUUGAAAGGCGGCUUCGGCUGUCACUUAUGGAUGGACCCGCGUCGCAUUAGCUAGUUGGUGAGGUAACGGCUCACCAAGGCAACGAUGCGUAGCCGACCUGAUAGGGUGAUCGGCCACACUGGGACUGAGACACGGCCCACACUCCUACCGGAGGCAGCAGUAGGGAAACUUCCGCAAUGGACGAAAGUCUGACGGAGCAACGCCUCGUGAAUGAUGAAGGCUUUCGGGUCGUAAAAUUCUGUUGUUAGGGAAGAACAAGUGCUAGUUGAAUAAGCUGGCACCUUGACGGUACCUAACCAGAAAGCCUCGGCUAACUACGUGCCAGCAGCCGCGGUAAUACGUAGGUGGCAAGCGUUAUCCGGAAUUAUUGGGCGUAAAGCGCGCGUAGGUGGUUUCUUAUGUCUGAUGUGAAAGCCCACGGCUCAACCGUGGAGGGUCAUUGGAAACUGGGAGACUUGAGUGUAGAAGAGGAAAGUGGAAUUCCAUGUGUAGCGGUGAAAUGCGUACAGAUAUUGAGGAACACCAGUGGCUAACGCGACUUUUCUGGUCUGUAACUGACACUGAGGCGCGAACGCGUGGGGAGCAAACAGGAUUAGAUACCCUGGUAGUCACGCCAUAAACCAUGAGUGCUAAAUUGUUAGAGGGUUUCCGCCCUUUAGUGCUGAAGUUAACGCAUAAUCCUCCGCCUGGGGAGUAUGGUCGCAAUGCUGAACUCAAAGGAAUUGACGGGGGUCGCACAACCGUGGAACAUGUGGUUUAAUUCGAAGCAACGCGUAGAACCUUACCAGUUCUUGACAUCCUCUGAUACCUAGAAUAGGGUUCUCCUUC